rnacentral:rRNA from 1 species
GAUGAACGCUGGCGGCGUGCCUAAUACAUGCAAGUCGAGCGAACGGACGAGAAGCUUGCUUUUCUGAUGUUAGCGGCGGACGGGUGAGUAACACGUGUAUAACCUACCUAUAAGACUGGGAUAACUUCGGGAAACCGGAGCUAAUACCGGAUAAUAUUUUGAACCGCAUGGUUCAAAAGUGAAAGACGGUCUUGCUGUCACUUAUAGAUGGAUCCGCGCUGCAUUAGCUAGUUGGUAAGGUAACGGCUUACCAAGGCAACGAUGCAUAGCCGACCUGAGAGGGUGAUCGGCCACCCUGGAACUGAGACACGGUCCAGACGACUACGGGAGGCAGCAGUAGGGAAUCUUCCGCAAUGGGCGAAAGCAUGACGGAGCAACGCCGCGUGAGUGAUGAAGGUCUUCGGAUCGUAAAACUCUGUUAUUAGGGAAGAACAUAUGUGUAAGUAACUGUGCACAUCUUGACGGUACCUAAUCAGAAAGCCACGGCUAACUACGUG